AGUGAACGCUGGCGGUAGGCCUAACACAUGCAAGUCGAACGGCAGCACAGUAAGAGCUUGCUCUUACGGGUGGCGAGUGGCGGACGGGUGAGGAAUACAUCGGAAUCUACUUUUUCGUGGGGGAUAACGUAGGGAAACUUACGCUAAUACCGCAUACGGCCUACGGGUGAAAGCAGGGGAUCUUCGGACCUUGCGCGAUUGAAUGAGCCGAUGUCGGAUUAGCUAGUUGGCGGGGUAAAGGCCCACCAAGGCGACGAUCCGUAGCUGGUCUGAGAGGAUGAUCAGCCACACUGGAACUGAGACACGGUCCAGACUCCUACGGGAGGCAGCAGUGGGGAAUAUUGGACAAUGGGCGCAAGCCUGAUCCGGCCAUACCGCGUGGGUGAAGAAGGCCUUCGGGUUGUAAAGCCCUUUUGUUGGGAAAGAAAAGCAGCAGGUUAAUACCCCGCUGUUCUGACGGUACCCAAAGAAUAAGCACCGGCUAACUUCGUG
rnacentral:rRNA from 1 species